AACUAGAAUAGAAAAUAUAUUUUAAUUACUGUUUUUCUUUAUUGCCUUAUUCCUAAUUGAGACUUGGAAUUACUCAAGACUAUUUACAUUUAUUGAAGGUUAACUGUAUUUAUUGUAUUACCUUGCUCCCCUUAUAAAAUAUCCCUAUAUCCCAUCAUAAAGAAACCUGAAAUAUGAUGCAAAACAAAUGCAGAACGUAGAUUUUACUUCUUGAUCCUUAGUCAAAAGUUUCUUUAAAAAUAUUGAAAGCAUCACUCCUUUGUUCACAUUAGCAUUUUUUCCCCUCACAACCAAAACUGUGAUCUUUUACCUUUGAGAGUGUAUUUGAUUCCUUCAUCUAUGUAUUCUUUUUCACUCUCUUUUACGGUUCUAAGAAAAACCUCACUGAUGUAGAAAACCACUGCUGACUGGAAGCAGGUUAAAUUGUGGUUGUUUUUUACCAUGUUUUGGGCAGCUUGUCAACAAACCACACACGCCAAACAAGGAAGCAAAACCAACUGAAGGGCUCUUAGUCAACUUUCCAAUGUGCAGAAGUUGAAGAUUAAUGGGGGGAAAACUCACAGGAAGUUCAUUAACAAAGGAUAAACAGCAUGCUUGACAGGAGCUAUCUUGUGUUUAUACCUUCUAUGACGAUUCAUCUUUUUGUGUGAUCCUGUUCGUUUUAUCUUGUGGUUUGGAGACUUGUUCUCAACUCUGUAUUUUAGAAUCAUUUGAAGGGCUUUUAGAUAAUAUCAGUACCUCGUACCCAGAGAUGAUAACUUAAUUGUACAGGUUUACACACUGAGGUUGUUUGGUUUAGAAUAUACUAUUUGAGUAAAUGAAUUAAAGAUCAUUUGAGGUUUCCUUGGUGGCUAAAAGCCUCAAGAAUGUUUAGUUACAGUGUCCUCCCUGGACCAAAAAAAUAAAUUGUUUAGCCAAUUAGAAUCGACCCUUAGAAAUACAUGAAUUGAUUUGGAAGAACUGGACCCUGAAGGUAUAGGCUUUCUUUUUGAAUGGCAGAGAUGACACAAAUUGACUUUAAAAAGACAGCCCUGGUCACAGGCUAGGUGUCCUGAGAUCGGCCUUUUACGACCUUUGCACUAAAGGACUCUGCUUAAGACCCACCUAUAAGGAGAUACUAUAGCUCGGUGAUUAUGAGAUCAAAUGCUGGAGCCAGCCUGUCUGGGUUUGAAGCCUAGCCCUGGCACUUACCACCUAGGUAUCUUGAACAAGUUAAGGUACUUAACUUCUGUACCUGAGUUUCCUCAUCCAUAAAAUGAGGAUCACACAGCACCUAUCUCUUAGUUUUGUUGUAAGGAUUAAAUGAGUUAAUGCACUUAUGGAGCCUGGAACAUAUUAAGCCCUCAUUGUGUUAUUAUUAUUCCAGCUUCCCCUAGAAGGGAACUCUUAAUAGUUCUCAAAGGAGCCACUCUUUCCUGCCAGUCACAUAAAUCUUACAGUGCUUGGAUCUUGAGGCCUAUAACUGGGGAGAAAGGAGACAAGAAGUCUUUCCUUCUCUGCCUACUGACGUCUAAUAAAUAAACGUACACCUCCCAAAUAAACUACUGUCUGCCUUGAGAGUGCAACAGUAAGGGCUGAGUUUGGCUGUCUCCUACAGCCGAGUUUAGGAAAGAGAGCAAAUGCAAUGUUUUUCUUGGUGAAAUAGAUCUUAAAGGAUAGAUCUUAAGUUGUGGUGACAAGCCCUGGGAAGGUUUUUGUUUUUGUUUGUUUGUUCAUUUGUUUUUUAACUUGGUGGAAAGCUAGUGGUCACAGUAGAUUCCUGCGACCUACUUUUGGUGCACAGCUUUGAUUGGAUAUGAACCAGGUCAUAAGAAACAUGCGCAAAUGAUAACUGAAUGUCUCAUGCUAUGAUUUCUCUUCAGAGCAGAGUUAGCUUAAACUGUUUAGUGCUUAUGCUCUCCCAGACAAAGAUACCCACCUUUAGUAAGGGAAGUAUUAUGCAAAUGAAGGGAUGAAAGUUAGCUGAGCUUCUCCUGUUGAAGGAGGUGUCAGACCAAGACCAUGAAGCACAUUUGGCCCCCCCUCAGUGAACUCUUGAGGACCUUUGCAGAGCCCAGUUUGAAACUACAGUCCUGUAAGUUUAUGGGUAAGCUUCUAAUUAAGUCCAGGCUACAGGAUUUGGCUUCCACUUAACCUCUCUAUCCUCAGCCUUCACCCCUCCUCCUUCACUGCCUUCGUGCACACCUUUACUAAGGCUGCUCUCUCUCCCUCUGCUCACUCUGUAUCAUCUUUACUCAGCUCAAGAUUCUCCAUUUCCACAAAAGCUUCACUGAAUUGCUAGUUUAGGCAAAGCAUUCUUUCUCAGAUUUCUCAUAGUUCCGUAUCCAUAACUCUGUUAGCAUGUUCCCUACUGAAUAAAUAAAAUAAUCUGUUUGUCUUCUUGACAGUAAAGUGAGUUCCUGGGCCUCGGGAAGUAUGCUUUAUUCAUUCUUCAUCUCCAAUAUUCAGAACAGUGACUAGAAUAAAAGAAGGCACCAACUUGUCUGAUACACUGAGCUGAAGGCAGUGUCACGAGGACCAGAGAAAAAGGAAGAUUUGGAAGAUGCGUGGAGAGCAGAAUCUACAGGACUCGAAAUAAUUAUAUGGAUAUGGCCAAGCAAGCUCAGAGUGAAAUCCUUAAACCAGUCUGUGGGCACUUCAGGACGGAGGAGGGACUUGCAGCCAGAGGAGAGAACACCUGUAGCUGUACGUCCUGAUAGAGCACCUUGCUCCUCCCCCACACAGCUCAGGCUGGAGAGAUGCAAAAGCUGCAGAGGGAGUCAGCUAGUCCCAUGGAACUGUGGCGAGGAAAAGAGCGAGGCUCAGAACAGCACAGAAGUGGUUGAGAGUGGGCUCACAAUGACGGACAGAAGGGUGAAGCUAGCAAAGAUGGAUGCAGACGUGGCAGCAAUGGAAGAGAGCUGAAACCCGACUAGAGGGAAUUGUCCGUCACAGCAGAUGCUGGACCCGGUGCCUCAGAGGUGAAGACAGCUGAGGCCCAAAUAGAGCAGAAGGACGGUUGUGAAUGCAGAAUUUCUUUUCUUCUUUUGAUUGCUUCAUUCUGAACUGGCCCACGUGGUUACAGAGGCCAAGAAGUCCCACAAUCUGCCAUCUACAAGGUGGAGAACCAGG